rnacentral:lncRNA from 1 species
UAAACCUAUCACGAUCUACUGGCCUUAAACAGCUUUAAUUUCUUACUUUAACUGAUAAUCUAAUUCUUAUGUAUAAUAAUAUCCUCUGAUUUUUUCUUCCUAAUUUGGGUCGAUAUUAAACUGAGCUCGAUUUUGCCUUUCGUCUGCGUUCUCUUUUAUUUAAGGUCAGAAAGUUUUGAACAAUUACACGCUUAUAUUUAUGUUUGUAAAUUGUAAUUAACAAGUUUCUCCUUUUUCCCCCUUUUGGAAUGUGAAUUUUACUCUGUGAAAUAUCAGGGUUCAUUUGUGUGUUAUGUUCUUUAUGGUUAAUCCGCCUUUGAGGCAUUAAUUAUGUAUAUAAUUAAUCUCCUUGUAUCACUCUUCAAGCUCUCGCCAGUUUUAGGGUUUGAUUAAUUGUGGACUUCGUGAACUCGUGUUAGCUUUUACGGUCUGGACCUAUUUUCUCUGUUAUACUUUGCGCGUUCCUACUAGUAAUCCAGAAUGUUCCUUUUUGCUGGCAAUAAAAUUUGUUGGGAAUAAUACUUGAUACUUUUCUUUUAGACUUCCUUAGCUGUAAUUCUGGACGUCACUUAUCAAUGUUAAAAAUUGAGUUUAUUUCAUUGAUCGAAAUCUUUUUUUUUUAAAUGACUGGUGUUCAGCUAAGCUUAUGCACACCUCGAUUAAUUAUAAUACCAGAUACCUGCUACCUCCCAAUACCAAGUAACUCUGACCACUAACACUUUGGAGAUUUAAGAAAUCACUCUGCGUUUUUCCCUCUGCUGGGAUUUGAUUGAAAUCAUUAUUUUAUUGAUUAUGUAAUUGCUAUGCUUUUUUUUUCUUUUUCUAGGUAACAUCCAAUAAGUUUAUGUUCAUGCUUCCCGUAUGAAUUAACUUAUAUAACGAUAAUGUAAAGAAUUUUUUUACGCUAUUCAUUGUUUUUAAAUCAGUUAUAGCAUGUUAUUUACUUUAUUUUCUAGUUGCAAAAUUAUGCUUGCAGUAGAUAGUUACAUGCCGUUGUAGGUCACGUUAACCUUCGAUGCAAAAAGAUAUUCAUUAUCAGUAUAUAGAAGCUAAACUCGUUACUGUGAGUCUAUUUAGUAUUAGUUGAAUUUUGAAGCAUGACCAUUCUUCAAGUAUUGGAAUUCAGUCUGCUAUUGUGAUUUAGGCUAACUUCUCAACUUUUCGAACCAGAUUAAAAUACAACAACAACAACAACAACAACAACAACAACCCAGUAUAAUCCCACUUAAUGGGGUCUGGGGAGGGUAGUAUGUACGCAGACCUUACCCCUACCUUGGGGUAGUGGGGUAGAGAGGCUGUUUCCAGAUAGACCCCCGGCAUCCUUCCCUCCAAGAACUUCCCACCUAUCUUACUUAGUGAGGUCUGGGAGGAUAAUGUGUAUGCAGACCUUACCCAUACCCUUGGAUAGAGAGGCUAUUUCCAAAUAUACCCCCGGCAUACUUACCUCCAAGAACUUCCCACCUUGCUCUUGGGGAGACUCGAACUCACAAUCUCUCGAUUGGAAGUGGGGGUUGCUUACCAUCAGAGCAACCCCUCUUGUCGAACCAGAUUAAAAUAGAGUUGGAAAUUUUAUUUCAGCAAUUGUAGUUUACUUGUUAUGAUCCUUUAUGCAAAUUGGAGUCUUCUCUAUGGCUGGAAUUUAGUUUGAUAAGUAGCUGCUUUUCAUUAGAUUCCUGGAUAGAGAGAAGAUUAUGUUGUGCUUGUUUCGUGCCUCCUUGGUUCUUUGUAUCUAUCUUCUGUUCUCUUUUUUCUUAUUGCACAAUGUGCGUCUAUACUGCAUUCGUACAAUCACAUAAUGUUAGAAGGACAAGAUAACCGUCUUUCAUCAUAUGGAUGUCGACUGACUGAUCCUUUACUACUGAAAAGCUGCGUGAUAGUCUGGUGCCUUACUUAGAUUUGGCUUUGUAUAUCCUUGGACAUUAUCUCAACUCUGGUGUAUUUAACCUUCGCCAAUGUUGUUGUUGGUCAUUUAAUAGGGAUAAAGCAUGUCCCACCAACCAGGAGAUGAUGCUGAAUACAUGGCAGAUGAAUAUGAAAUGGAGGAUAUAGAUGACGAUAUGGAUGAUGAGUUCCAUGGCAGAGAUAUGGGUGGCUCUGAUUCAGAUGUAGAUGAGUAUGACUACAUGGUUUGUGAAUUCCUCCCUGAAAAUCAUUUAUUUAUACAAGGACUUGUUAGAUUUAUGCAGUUGUUGUGAUGAGUGUGCGUAAAUUUUUUGAAUUUCUGUUUGUUUGUUUCUGGAUUAGAAUAAUAAAAUGCAAGAUACCUCUGCUGCUGAGGCAAGGAGAGGCAAGGACAUUCAAGGGAUCCCCUGGGAAAGGCUUAGCAUAACCAGGGAGAAAUACAGGCAAACGAGAUUAGAGCAGUAUAAGAACUAUGAGAAUAUUCCUCAGUCUGGGGAGGCAUCAGAGAAGGUAAAUGUAUUUGUGGUUUUCUUACUUCGUCAGCUCUGUGCCCAUUGCUGACAUUGUUGUCUUUGUUUCUUUUUGCUUGUCAACAGGAAUGCAGUGCCACAAAGAAAGAGUGUUCAUAUUAUGAAUUCAGACGUAAUUCUCGAUCUGUUAAAUCAACAAUUUUACACUUCCAGGUAAUGUACUGGCUCUUGUCACAUUUUUCUUUACAUUCAGCUUCCUUCAUUGUAUGCGAGGGACUAGGACCCUAUAUGGAGAACAAGUUCACACUAUUUUUUAAGAUGACGUUUUUGUGGGUUUCCUGGCAUAAAAACUGAAUACCAGAGCCACAGGGAUAAGCAUCAUAAUGUGUUCGUAACCUAUAUCAAAUUUGAUGUGCUGCAUGAUACUGUAACCCUAGUUGAGCCAACAAAUCAGUUUAAUUUGCACGUUUGUUAAUUGUCUACUUAUAAUAAAGUGCAUGCUAUCAUGCUUUCUGGCAACAACAAAACCUAUUCUAAAGUUUUUUGUCGUGUGUAUGUAGCUGAGGAACUUGGUCUGGGCAACUUCCAAGCAUGAUGUGUACCUUAUGUCACACUUCUCGGUCAUUCAUUGGUCAUCCUUGACUUGCGCUAAAAACGAAGUUCUCAAUGUAUCAGGGCAUGUAGCACCAUGUGAGGUGAGUGUUUUGGACAUGGAAUCUACCAAACAUUUAGUUUAGGACAUUCAAUUAUAACCUUCCACAUUUUCUUGCUUCUUUUCCAUUAUAGAAACAUCCUGGAAGCCUUUUAGAAGGAUUUACGCAGACACAAGUCAGCACACUUGCAGUGAAAGAUAACUUGCUUGUUGCUGGGGGAUUUCAAGGGGAACUUAUUUGCAAGGUAUGUCAUUCCCUUACAUUGGUUUCUGCAUUUGGUUUUUCUUGGAUUAGCUUUUGCCAUCCACAGUGGCAGCAUUUAUUCUUCGCUCUUUGUUUGUGUACUUGAUAUAUGGUUGCCACUUGACAGACCCACAUAUUAUCAACAACAACAGCAACAACAACCCAGUACAAUCCCACAUAGUGGGGUCUGGGGAGGGUAGCAUGUACGCAAACCUUACCUCUACCCUGGGUAGAGAGGCUGUUUCCAAAUAGACCCCCGGCAUCCUUCCCUCCAAGAACUUCCCACCUUGCUCUUGGGGAGACUCGAACUCAGCAUGUACGCAAACCUUACCUCUACCCUGGGUAGAGAGGCUGUUUCCAAAUAGACCCCCGGCAUCCUUCCCUCCAAGAACUUCCCUCCUUGCUCUUGGGGUGACUCGAACUCACAACCUCUCGUUGUAAUAUUGUUGUUGUAUGUUGCAUUUUAACACAUUUAUCUGAGACUUAGAACUUAAGAAGAAUGUUUCUUGUAGAACGUAAAGAUAUGAUAUAACAAUGUGAAAAAAAUUCAUUUCCUUCUGGGCUUACUGUUUUGAUCUUCACCUUCAGAAAGUGAAACUACUUUAACGUGGAAUUAAUGUUCUUGAAAUAUGCAG